rnacentral:tRNA from 1 species
GCUCCCCUGGCGUAAUGGUAACGCGUUGGACUUCUACCAGCAUCCUGUGGGCCCCCGGGAUCCAAAGACUGCGGGUUCGAGCCCCGCGGGGAGUG